GACGAACGCUGGCGGCGUGCUUAACACAUGCAAGUCGAACGGUGAAGCGCCUUCCUUUUUGGUGGGUGUGGAUGAGGGGCGAACGGGUGAGUAACACGUGUGUAACCUGCCCCCUUCUUCUGGAUAACCGCAUGAAAGUGUGGCUAAUACGGGAUAUUCUGGGUCUGUCGCAUGAUGGGUCUGGGAAAGAUAUUGUGUCGGUGGGGGAUGGGCUCGCGGCCUAUCUGCUUGUUGGUGGGGUGACCGCCUACCAAGGCGGUGGCGGGUAGCCGGCCUGAGGGGGUGGGCGGCCACACUGGGGCGGAGACACGGCGCAGACUCCGACGGGACGCAGCAGUGGGUAUUAGUGCACAGUGGGCGCAAUCCUGAUGCAGCGACGCCGCGUGGGGGAUGGAGUCCUUCUGGUUGUGACCCUCUUUCGCCAGUGAAGCAGGCCUGCCUCGUUUGUGGGUGGGUUGACGGUAGCUGGAUAAGAAGCGCCGGCUAACUACGUG
rnacentral:rRNA from 1 species